ensembl:lincRNA
UCAGAAGGAGGCCCAAUUAUGUUCCAGAAGCUUCUGCUGAGUGUUUUCAUAAUUCUCCUUAUGGAUGAGAAAGAGUGCUGACAUUUAACUGUACAGUAUAUUUGGCUUGCAUUUAUUGGAAAAAUCAUACUACCAUAUGAGGAGAAGUUUUUGAACCAUUUACACACUGUUCCUCUCCGUACCUCAUUCACUACUUCUGAGUCUUCUUUCUAUAGAUUUGAUUUGUGAAUGAGUAGGGAACUCUUGGAGGGAAUCAUUACUGCCAUUAAUAAUAUCAGGGGGUGGGGGAAGAGUGCCACAUUUCUUCUCAUUGGGUUUGUAUAAUUUUGACUUACUAAAGUAGUUAUUUUCCACAGAUCUAACAUUAAAAAUCUUCCUUUCCUUUAGUGCUUAGACAUUGUAAUCUGUGUUCGCAUCAUGAUGGGUUAAAAUGCCGCAAUGGCAUGAAAUCAUGCUGGAAGUUUGACUUAUGGACACAAAACAGGACUUGUACCACAGAAAACUAUUAUUAUUAUGAUCGUUUCACAGGGUUAUACCUUUUUCGUUAUGCCAAACUUAAUUGUAAACCCUGUGCACCUGGAAUGUAUCAAAUGUUCCACGACCUGCUGAGAGAAACAUUUUGCUGUAUUGACAGGAACUACUGUAAUGAUGGCACUGCUAACUUGGAUACCUCAUCAAUACUUAUAGAGGAUAUGAAUCAAAAGAAAGAGUUGAAUGAUGAUUGAAAUAAUGAGGAUUUAAAUACCUCAUGUGCCUACAUUCUUGACAAUUAUAAAACCCAGGCCCCAUACUCCUCUCUAUGUCAGUAAAUGUUCCCAUGCAAACCCAGUCUUUUUUAUUUCCACAUUUCAAAUAAUAAGAAAGAGAAAACUCACAAGUAAAAACAAAACAAAACAAAACAAAUCAAAAAACAAAAACAAAAACAAAACAAAACAAAACAAAACAAAACCUCAGUUCUGUCUCUGGUGUAUGUUCUAGUUCUGGUUACUGCCUACUUAGCUUCAUUUAUGCUUAUGUUCUGAUGCUCAACUGUAAAAUAAACAUUGCAAAAAGGGACAUUUUUUCAUGUUGAGGACCAAGGAAAUCAGCCUACAUAGAAACAGGUCCAAGGAAUAAUAUUUCCAGAGGAAUGACUGGCAUAGGGUAAAAGAUGUAGAGGGAGGGUUUGUGUUACUCAGAGCUGGAAAGACAAUGAAAAGUUAGAAGGCUUUCUAAAAGUUAAAUUCAAAGAAUAGUCAGUAUAUUUGAUGAAGUUCUAAUGCCUACCACCAUUUGGGGGAAAUCAUCUGGCCAUAGCUAUUCCUGUACACUCACCUCUUGGCCAUGGUAUUUCUAUCCACUUUACUAUGCUCUCAUAGUCAAAGAAAAACAUGUCAAGAUGAAAAAUAUGUUGAAUACAAGUCACCCAUUCUAAUCUGAAGAGGCAAGUGUGAAAUGCAAGUCUUCAGGAUAUUUUAAUAUAAUAUUGCAUUUAGGGAAUCAAUGAUGAGAUGUAGGUUAUAACUAUCAACAUAGCUUUGUAACAGAAAAUGUACAUUUUAGAUUCUAAAUACCUAACUAUAUUUUAACCAUGUAAUCACAUAUACAAAUCCAAUAUUAUCUCAGAUAUAGCAGAAGUAUCCCUCUGUAAUUUAAUCAUUGUGGUUUCUUAUUAGUAUCUACCAAGUUAUAUUUAUGAAAGUAGAAUAAAAUCUUUAGAUCUCGAACUUAUUUUCGAAACACUUGAAGUAUAAUUAAGGCAGUAUUUGCCCAACUAUAAUAAUAAUAAUAAUAAUAUAGAAAUUAGAAUUUAACUUCAUGUCAUGUGGGAAAUAUGAGAUAAUCCUUCAUUUGGAUUUGAAUAAUUUUUUAAUUUCUU